GAAUGAUUGAGAAGUAGAUUUGGACUACUCUUUUCUUUUUCUUUGUUUAUUAUUAUUAUUAUUAUUUUUUAGUUUUUUUAGUUUUCUUUUAGCUUUAGAACAAUCAUAUAUAGUUGAGAAGGCCUUGUUUAGUUUUCUUACAUACACGUACAGGUUCUUGUAUGGCUAUGCACCCACAAAAUUCAUAUGCACUACAAGUCAUGGAACAUCAUCCAAAUGCGUCUUACACAUAUUUAGCUCCUACAUUUCCUCCACCUCCACCAUUUUCGGUGCAAUACCCGUAUCCAAGUCCACAAGGUUUGCAUUAUCCCACAUCAUCGAUGGCUUAUGCAUAUAUGCCUCCACCGGCAGUGAGUUACGGGUUCCUGCUACCACCACCGGUACCGGCACCUCAUGGGAAGGUCGUUUCAGGUGACUUCAACCUUGAGACGCUUGUAUGUUGUGUUUAGAUGUUGUAACGCGGAACAAAGUUGAAUGUGCAGCUUUUAAUUUGGUAUCAAUUCAAGUUGCUGAAGCUAUCAUUUCUCAUCAGUAUAUGUUUCCUGCCUAUUCUGUUUUAAUAAGGAUUUCUGUUUGGACCCAAAUGGCUUAACAAUAUUAUUGUCAAAAUCGAGUUUUAUCUUAAUAAAUUUCUUUUUAUUAUA